GGAGGCAGCUCCGCCGGGGCGGCCGGGACUACGGCUCCCAGCAGGCCGCGCGACGGGACGGCGCCGGAUAUCCGGUGGGAAGAGAAGGAGUGAGGAAGCGGAGGGGAAAGAAGAAGGUCUGGGGGGCCUGGCUAGGACGGGACCAUCAUGAUUCGCUUCAUCCUCAUCCAGAACCGGGCUGGCAAGACGCGCCUGGCCAAGUGGUACAUGCAGUUCGAUGACGACGAGAAGCAGAAGCUCAUCGAGGAGGUGCACGCCGUGGUCACGGUGCGAGACGCGAAGCACACCAACUUCGUGGAGUUCCGGAAUUUUAAGAUCAUCUACCGCCGCUACGCGGGGCUGUACUUCUGCAUCUGCGUGGAUGUGAACGACAACAACCUGGCCUACCUGGAGGCCAUCCACAACUUCGUGGAGGUUUUGAAUGAAUAUUUCCACAACGUCUGUGAACUCGACCUGGUCUUCAACUUCUACAAGGUGACUGCCCUCUACUAUGACCAUGCAUCCGCUUGUUCUUAUGUUUACAUGUAGCCUGCGAUGCAGCACUGGACCGAGCCUAAAACACCGCUGCGCCGGAGAGAUGCGGGCUGGUCCAUGUUUGGUCUCUGUGCUUACUAGUGCUGCCAGCUAGACCUAAAUCUUCAGCCACCAGAGGGAGCCCUUACUGUGUAUUCUAACCAUGUGUAAAAGCGUUGCUUUAUUCUCCCCUUGGAUCAUGGCUGCUAUCCGUGGUUGCUGCGAUGAAACGAAGAGGGGGAAAGCUCCGGAUGAUCAUCAAGCAAAGCAGCCUGAGCAUAAAAUGGAUUAUUUACUUUAUUAUUAGUCACACUGAGUGUCCUGAGAGCAGGACCCUUUAAGGCUGUGCAGUGUCCCAAGACCUGAGAGUCCUAAGAUCAGGGCCCCGUGGCACCGAGCGCUGCCCAGACACACAGUGACUGAGAUCAGGGCCCCAUCAUGUCGGGCGCUGCCCAGACGCACAGUGACCGAGAUCAGGGUCCUGUCACACCACGCGCUGCCCAGACACAGUGUGACCAAGAUCAGGGCCCUGUCAUGCUGGGCGCUGCACAGACACACAGUGACCGAGAUCAGGGCCCUGUUGUGCCAGGCAGCUGCCCAGACACACAGUAGGAGACAGUCCCCAUCCCAAAGAGCUGACAGUCUAAACAGACAAUAGGUGGGAGGAGAUAUUGAGGCACAGAGAAGAAGGGGCUUGCCCAAGGUCAUUGGCAGAGCUGGGAACAGAACCCAGGUGGUGCCUGGCAUCCAGUGUCCCAGCAAUUGCCUCAUCAACAGAAGGGCUGCGAGCCCCUUUGCUUGGUCCGUGUAAAACUAGCUUACGCAGUACAAUGGAGAACAAUCGUGCACUGGCCUCCACCGAAGGAUGACAUGGCGCUUAAUCAGCCCCCUUAUGUGCAAACCCCAUUCACAGCAAUCCUGUUGGCUCUGUCUCUCCUCUUUUUCCUGAGCCCCCUGCCUCCUCUGCCCAGCAAAUGAACCCCAUCUUCCCUUUUCCCUUCAUCUCUCCUCUCAUGCCUGGUGCUCCCUCCAGCUCCCACGGUGCCAGCCCCCCUGAAAGCUCUCAUGUUUCCCCGAGCGCACAUCUGCUGCCCUCCCAGCCCAGUUGAAUUCGUUCCUAUGCCGAGCACCUGUGGGCGAGGACCAUCGCGUCUCCUCGCUCUGGCCCAGACUGGUUUGAUCUUGCGUUCUGAUGAUUCCCUGGCUGCUUUGCUGCAUGCCCACCGGCGGAAGAUCCUUCCUGUCUCAGGUUCUCCCCAUGGGCUAAGAGCGCUUUAGGGUCUCUGGAGGUCACAGAGCCGUGGAAACAGGUAUCAUAUCUGUUCUCCUUUUAGUUUAGAGCCUGCUAGAGAAUCCCCCAGCCCAAAAGUGUCCCAGAAGAGAAACAGGCCUUACUAGGGGCAUGCCGCAUGUCUACACUGCAAACUUAAGUCAAGUCCACAUACAGCCACCUCAGUAACUGCUGCAGUUUUUUAUGUCCACACUACCCUUCUUCUGUCAGUGGUGCGCAUCCUCACCAGGAGCGCUUGCACUGACUUAAGAGGGGCAAUGUGCGGGGUUGAGAACCUGGGCUCUCAGCUCCCCACUUCGAGCUUGGCUGCCACCCAGGCUCUCAGCUGCCCGCUCCCAGCAGAGCUAACCAGCUGGAGUCUGUCUCCCAUGGGGAGCAGGGAGCUGAGAGCUGAGGCGGUAGCCAGGCUCACAGCUGGAGCCCUCCACCCGCCCCAGGGUGACCACACCAGCUGUGAGCCUGGGGCAGGGUUCACAGCAGGGAGCCUACCAGCCCUUCAUGUCAAUUUCAUGGCUCCAGCUGCUAGCCCAGAGCUGCAGAGCCUAGCUGUGAAAUUGAUGAGAGUGACAGCCAACAGCCCAUGUAAGUAACGCAGUGUCUACACAGACAUUGCAUCGCCCUAACUACGCUGGCAAAACCCCUACGCCUCUGGCGGAGGUGGAGUUAUGUCGUCGGUGUAGUCGGGCACUUACAUCGGGGGGAGCAAGGCUGUAGUGUAGACGCUGACAUAAUAAGGUCAAUGUAAGCUGCCUUAUGUUGCCCUAAUGCUGUACUGCAGACCAGGCCUAGAAAUAAGCCUUUCAAGGAAACAGCCCUGGCCAACAGGAUGUGGAGAGUAUGAGCCAGCGGGCCCCAUGUGGGCUGUGAUGCACAGGCGUGCUGGAUUACCUGCUGUGUUCACAGAGCAUGCUGGCUCUGAGGAGGAGGAAUGCCUUAAGCAAACAUUGCUCUCAACUGGACAGGUUUUGGCCCUAAGGUGGGGUUUUUUAACAGCAAGAUAACAAACACACCAUAGUUAUCUCACUGUAAAUUCCUCUACAAGGCACAGAAUGGAGGAACCAUAUCCUGCCAAGCAGGGAGUCCAGAAAGGAUUAAUGGAUCAUAGUGGACACACAACUGAACGGGAGCACCCAGUGAGAUGCUCUUGCAGUAAGGGCUACUGCGAUUUUUGGAUGUAUAAACGGGGGGGAGGUGAGUAGGAGUAGGAAGGGGAUUUUCCCUCUGUGUAUAGCACUGGGGAGACUGAGGCUGGGAUACUGACUCUGGUUGUGGUGUGGUGUCCACAUUGUUAAAAGGGCAUUGCGAGAUUAGAGAGGGCACAGAGAUGAGCCACAAAAAUGGUCCCGAGCGCUGGAAAAUUGCUUUAGAGUGAUGGGCGCAAACACCUCAAUCUGUUCAGCUUAUUGAAAAAGAUUUGAGAGGUCGCUUGAUUACCCUGUACAUUUAACUUUAUGGGGAGAAAAUACCAGGUGGUAAAGGGCUCUUUAAUUCAGCAGAGAAAAAACAAGAACCAGUGGCUGGCAGUUAAAGCCAGACAAAUUCCAACUCAGAACAAGGCACAGAUUCUGUACAGUGCGGAUGACUCAACACUGGAACAAACUGCCCCAGGAAGUGAGGGGUUCCCCAUUUGUUGAUGUCUCCAUAUCCAGGGUAGCUGCCUUCCUAGGAGAUGCUUUAGGCCAGCACAAGUUAUGUGACUCAAUCCAGGGGUAAGUGGAUGGAAUUCUCUGGCCUGUGGUCUACAGGAGAUCAGACUAGAUGAUCUAAUGGUCCCUUCUGGCUUCAAACGCUCCCUGAAAACCUGCUUUUUUCAUUCUGAGCAGGCAGGUGUUUUGGGUCUCGGCUGCAAAUGCUCCUCUCAGCUCCCAGCGUGAGCUCUGUUCAGCCGGAGCGAGAGACCUGGCAGCUUGACAGAUGUCACUGCUGCUGAUGCAACCUAGCUGGCUGUUUCAUACUCACUAUGUGGCUACCAUCACAUCUCGCAGUUCCAUUACAGCGGAACCCAGCCCAGCCCCCGGAUUUCCACAUCCUUGGUGAGGUGAUGCAAUGUGCGGGUGGAAUAACAGCAUAUGGCUUUGAAUGUGUCAGAGGAGGAAACUGAAUAGACUCGGUGUGAGUGGGGGGAGGGAGCCUGGGCAACUCCUGGGUUCUCUGCCUGGCUCAGAGGCAGUGUGGUUCAGGGUAGGUCUAUGCUGCAAUCAUAGGGUGUGAGUGCAGCUCAGGUGGGCAUACCUGAGCUAGCCUGAAUCUAGCUAACUUGGGUCCUGGCAGCACACUUCAGCAUAGAGUUCCAGUGAGCUUUUACAGCCCCCACUGCCACAGCUUCCCUGCUCCGGUGCUUGAGCUAGUUCGAUUAAAGCUAGUUUGGGUACAUCUAACCGAGCCGCAGUCACAGCCGGUGAUCGCAGCAGAGACGUACCCUGAAUGGAGGAAGCUGGGGGCCAGGGCGUCAGGGCUGAUUCUGGCUCUGGGGUGGAGCAUAGCUUACAGGGUGUUCAAGCAAAGACACACUGAGCUUCUAGACUCCUGGGUGCUCUGCCACUGUUUUGCUGUGCGGUCUUGACCAAAGUCCAGUCUAUACUAGAAAAGUAGGUUGGUUUAACUACAUUGAUCAGGGUGUGAAAAAUUCACACCCCUGAGCAAUGUAGUUAAGCCACCUACGUCCCCUGAUAGGCAGCGGUAGGUCGACGGAAGAAUUAUUUGGUCAACCUAGCUCCGGCCUCUCGGGGAGGAGGAUGACCGCGCCUGUCCGCAUGGGUAGUGUUACACUAAAGUGCCCCAGCCUCCUUUACAGGAAAUAGAGUGAUCAUGUUGUUCGAAGCAUCAGCUGCAGCUCGGGAGAAUUCCCUUUCUUGUUGGUAAAGAGCUGGAUCACACCACAGGCUGAGCGUGACCCAUGAAUGAGCGAGAGCAACCUGAUUCUCCUGUCAUAUGAAAGGGAUCUGACUUCAAACCUCAGCCUAUGUGGCACUGACUCCUCGUUGUUUUUGCUGAUACAGACUAACACGGCUACCUCUCUGAAACCCGUAGAACGCAGACGCUUGCUAUCCGAGCAGACUUCAGUGUGAGUUUAUGAACAGCCUUUACAUGGCGCAGCACUUUCAUAUUAAGAUCAAGGCUUUUAGAUUUCUGGAUCUUUGAAUCUUUGUGAGACUGAAUGAUCGAUCACAUCAAGACGUAUCCUUUUGUUUCUUGUUUCAUGAAAGUAAAGUUAAAAGAGGCUUCUGCCUGAGAUGGUGUUUUUCAGCAAGCACAUGCACUUCCAAAUGCAAGCACAGCCGCCCCCACCCCCAGCAUGUCGCUGUCCUAGUUACAGGGCUGCAUGUACUUCACACAGGCUCAUUACACAGCACAACAGUGAGAUGGGCAAACAUUUCCAGGACCCUUUCACCGAGGGGGACGCAACUGGCUGAAGGUCACAGAAAGACUUGGUGGUAGAUGCAGUAUAAACAGGUGCCCCCCCAGGGUGCCCCAAGGUGGCCCCUGUGGUUCCCUGCCUCAGUUUCCACUGAGUUCCCAGAAUAAUGCAGUCACAGUCAAGACCUUUGAAACAAUACUCCCUUUCGCCUAAGGCCUAACGUAUUAAAUAACAUUCUGCUUUCAAAAGGCCCCUUCCCACUCCCCCCUCAAGUUUAAGGUGUCACCGUCCUCCAUCUAGGGACUGUACUUCCAGCCCUGGCCUCCAGACUGCCCCCCAGUUCAAGGGCUUCAGAACUCUCCUUGCUGGGGCUGACCCAGCUGAGUUCUUGCUCCCCUCCCCGCCCCCACUAAUCAGUCUCUUGAUCUUCCCCAGGUGGCUCUACUAACCCCAAACCCCUAUCAGCGUGGGCUGGGAGAAGGGGGAGUGUUGUCCCACCCACCCUACAGGCUCUGGUCCCAGGGCCCUUAAAAGAACAAAUGGUCUGACAUGGCCCUAAACCUUCCCUCUCCCAUACUGCUUCCCAAAACCAUCUUCUUCUCUCCCAAUGACACCUUCAAUUGCUUCUCUGGACACAUGGGAUGGUGGAACUUACCUCCUCUGGCCUUAAAUGGCCAGUCCCCCAUUGCAAGCAGGAACAAAACCCAGGAGUCCUGGCUCCCAGCUCACUUCACUAGGUCCAUAAGACCAGGCCAGUUGUUGCCUGAUCUCCCUCCAGUCCCUGAAACACCCUUUGUUGAUUUCAAGAGGGGGCAUCCUCAGGAAUACAUUUUCUUCCUGUCCCUUGCAGCUCGAGCCCACACACAACGCACUGGCCUCAUGCCAUCCCCCGUUUCCUGUCCCAGAGGGUGUAGCCUGGGUGUCCGCGCUCAAGAGUGGGUCCAGCUGAUCUCCUGCACCCCCGUCUCCCAAAUAGUGACAUUUCAAAUGUCAGCCAGGGACACAGCAAUUGGAUUCUCCCUUUGGUGAAAUUCCAGGAGGACAGGGGACAGCUGGAGGGUGGUUACUAAAAAUGGGAGAUGGAAUGACAGAUUGUAUUUCUUCUCAGGUAUGUAGUGGGCUGGGAGUUAAAGCAAUUCAUGGUCAGCUUCUACACCGCCAGAGAGUAAUCCCUGGCUCUCGGGCAGCACUUUUCAUCAGUAGAAAUCUAAGUGCUCUACAAAGGGGGUGGAGCAAUAUCAUUAUCCCCAUUUUACAGCUGGGGAAACUGAGGCACAGAGCAGGGACGCAACGUUCCCCAAGGUCACCCAGGAGCAGAGCUAGGAACAGAACUCAGGUUUCCGGAGUCCCAGUCCAGUGCUUUAUCCACUAGGCCUUACCGCUAGGCCUUACCACUAGGCCUUGCUGUUGAGCAGCUGGGACCAGAGUGGUUAAGAGCACUCGGCUGCCAGUGGCCCGUUUCCUACAGCCCCUUCUGCUGGGUCAGGUAGCUUGCAACCACUGCUGGGAGAGGAUGGGCUUGAAGACGAAGGUAACUGGCACUCCUGCACCAUUCCCUGCAGCUGGAAAUGGCUGUGGCUGGAGCAGAUGAGUGCUUCUUCUACAGACAUAGCGCUCCUGCACUCCUCAGCUAACGGCUUGAUUGGAGGGUCUCUAGGCGGGGUCUGUGGCUCAGCUGCUGUCUGCACAAUCCUGCUGCAAGAUGAACUAUUUUGAGAACCCAGCAGUGGGUUUAACGGUAUCUCAGUGGGCCAAGAAGUUAGCCAGUAGUCGGGGCCUUGCCAGGUUGCUUCCAUUAAGAGAAGAAAUUGAUGACGGAGCCAGGUAUGUUCUUUGGUGUAAUCCUCGUACAAAAGCCAGUCUCCCUCCAUGCCGCAGGAACAAACACCGCCAGUUUGAUUGCUCACUAUUUUCCAUGCCUGCAUCUCAAGCCAGGCCUGUGCCCAAGAAGCUUUCUCUGAUCCCUCUCAGGCUACGCUCAUGACUGCGUCUCUCGCUGUCUGCUGGCUCUCUCUUAUCACACAGACAGCUUUCCAAAGAAUCCUUUAGCCAUGAAAUCCCCCCUUAUUCUCCCUGGGUUAGUUCUUGCUUCUACCUUGCUAUGCAGCUCAGUGUCUUGGGCAGUGGCUUCUAUUGUUUCUAUCCCUGAGUAUGUAAAAGGGGCGUAAUUGCGUCUCCCAUUUAGCCUGAAUGAAGGGUGCUUAGCACACCAGGUCUGUGAUGUCUGAUGGAAAAAGACCUGCUUGGGGGCAGCUACAAACACCUUCCAGCAGAUCAAUAAGCUGCUGAAUGAAAAUGGGUGAGGAUCACUGUGUUACAUGGAUGCUAAGGACUGGACUGGACUGGACUGGAGACACCAGCCUAGUCUCAGUAUGUCUCUCCUUCCAUCAGUCUAUGCAGUUUUCACCAUGGAUGUAACAAGUUGCUCUGCAGCCACACUACAAAUGCAAAUCAAACUGGGUGUUGGGAAGACACCUGCCCAAUAUGGCAGCAAAUGCCAAAGCUCCAAGCAAAAAGCCUUCUGCUGGGUGACUUUAGCCCUUCACGCCACAUUUAAAUCUGCUUGCUAGCUGGCCAGCCAUGCAAAUGAGGCAGCUGCACUGCAAGGCUUUGCAUAUGGUCACAGACAGGGACGAGAGCAGGUGUGUUAGCGCAGGGGUUCUCAAACUGGGGGCUGGGACCCCUCAGGGGGUCGUGAGAUUAUUACAUGGGGGGUCGCGAGCUGUCAGCCUCCACCCCAAACCCUGCUUUGUAUCUCGCAUUUAUAAUGCUGUUAACUAUAU